UACGUAGGAGGCGAGCGUUAUCCGGAUUUACUGGGCGUAAAGCGCACGCAGGCGGCUUCGUUAGUCGGAUGUGAAAGCUCCUGGCUUAACUGGGAGAGGCCAUUCGAUACUGCGGGGCUUGAGGUUGGGAGAGGGGUGUGGAAUUCCCGGUGUAGUGGUGGAAUGCGUAGAUAUCGGGAGGAACACCAGUGGCGAAGGCGGCACCCUGGCCCACACCUGACGCUGAGGUGCGAAAGCGUGGGUAGCAAACAGG
rnacentral:rRNA from 1 species